AACACAUGCAGUCGAACGGCAGCACAGGAGAGCUUGCUCUCUGGGUGGCGAGUGGCGGACGGGUGAGGAAUACAUCGGAAUCUACUCUGUCGUGGGGGAUAACGUAAGUGGAAACUUACGCUAAUACCAGCAUACGAACCUAACGUAGAGUUGAAAUGCAAGAGGUAGAUCUUCGGACACUUUGCUGCGAUUUGAAUUGAGCCAAGAUAGUCAGAGAAUUANAGCUAGUUUGAGCAGAGUGAGUUAAAAGAGCCCAACCAAGAGACAGAACAGAAUCCAGUUAAAGCAUAGAGUCUAGACAGAAAGGAUAGAAUCAAGCCA
rnacentral:rRNA from 1 species